rnacentral:rRNA from 1 species
CCUACGGGUGGCAGCAGUGAGGAAUAUUGGACAAUGGGCGGUAGCCUGAACCAGCCAAGCCGCGUGAGGGAAGAAGGUACUCAGUAUGGUAAACUUCUUUUACAUGGGAAAAAAGGCCGGUACGUGUACCACAAUGCGUGUCCCUUAAGAAAAAGCCUCGGCUAACUCCUUGCCAGCAGCCGCGGUAAUACGGAGGAGCCGAGCGUUAUCCGGAUUUAUUGGGUGUAAAGGGAGCGCAGGCGGGAUGGUAAGUCAGUAGUGAAAGUUUGGGGCUCAACCCCAGAAUUGCAGUUGAUACUGUAUGCCUUGAGUGCAGGAGAGGUAGGCGGAAUUCGUGGUGUAGCGGUGAAAUGCAUAGAUAUCACGAAGAACUCCGAUGGCGAAGGCAGCUUACUGGACUGUAACUGACGCUGAUGCUCGAAAGUGUGGGUAUCAAACAGGAUUAGAUACCCUGGUAGUC